GUACAGGAGUCUUGAGACCUGGACCAGGUCGGAUCAUCUUCAUCCUGGAGACCGGGGACCGGUUGGUGAGAUUUUCAAUGUUCUGAAGAAAAGAAACAAUUUUUUUAUUCAGAAAUUUUUUAAGACGCACCCAACACGUGGAUACGUCAGAAAAUAUUCAGUGUACAGACAUUAGGCUGUUGACUUCGGUACUGCAGGCCGUUCAUCUCCUCGCGAAAUUAGCGUUGUUAAUUGGCUGGAGGGUCCGCGUACGAGGCUUGCCAAUUCAUCUGAAAAUACGAGGUAGCCAGGCGAGAGAGUGCCGGGCAAAGAAAAGAUCGAGGAAUAACAAGAGGACGAAUAAGAAGAAGAAUGACGAUCAGAGGAGGAGGUGCAGGUGUUACCAACCGUAAUACAACCCUCUAUGCUCCAUCGUACCAUCUCACGCCCUUAUUUUUAAAAGUAUCGUAUAUGCAUCCGAAGUCGCUGCAUACUAUUUAAAAUGCAUGGGGAAACGUUUCGCGGGCAUUUUUAAGCCGAGCGCGACAGUGCUGCCUCUGACGGCAGAUGUCAGCUGUGGCGUCCAUGCGGUUUCUGACUGUUGAAAUGCAGGUUGCUGAAUGCUUCUGCAUAUUCAUUUGGAGGUUAGCUGCUUCACGUGUAAUGGAUUGACUGACGUUUUCAAUCGCUGCGAAUUACUACAGGAAUUGGCGUGUACUAGCAGGUUUACAUCGUUUCGAAUUAUUCUACCGGAACGUCCGCUGGUAUCAUCCGUUUCGUGAGGUCGUGACGUCAUUCUCCGAAGACUGCAAAAUGUUCAUGUUAAACGACCACGCCGAAUCGCACGAUGAGACGUCUAGACGACUUUGGCUGUUAGCACUCGUCCAAAAUUACUACAGGACAAAUUACGCUCUAAUCUCUACUGUCAGUAAAUAUAACCUUAUUUGAGGAGCGAAAAAUAUCGCUGGCUGUCGGGUCUAUGGGUGGACUCUCUGGCUAGUCAAAUUUGAUUAGACCGGGAUUUAGAUUAGGCUCACGCGAAACGGCUGUGCUGGCAAACAUUGCGAAACGGAUCGAUCCGAUUGGCCUGUAGGACGCCUUGCAAAUUUCUUCCGUCAAUAAAUAGACGUUGGACUUUGUUAA